UGAACCUGCGGAAGGAUCAUUACCGAGUGCGGGCCCUCUGGGUCCAACCUCCCAUCCGUGUCUAUCUGUACCCUGUUGCUUCGGCGUGGCCACGGCCCGCCGGAGACUAACAUUUGAACGCUGUCUGAAGUUUGCAGUCUGAGUUUUUAGUUAAACAAUCGUUAAAACUUUCAACAACGGAUCUCUUGGUUCCGGCAUCGAUGAAGAACGCAGCGAAAUGCGAUAAUUAAUGUGAAUUGCAGAAUUCAGUGAAUCAUCGAGUCUUUGAACGCACAUUGCGCCCCCUGGUAUUCCGGGGGGCAUGCCUGUCCGAGCGUCAUUGCUGCCCUCAAGCACGGCUUGUGUGUUGGGCUUCCGUCCCUGGCAACGGGGACGGGCCCAAAAGGCAGUGGCGGCACCAUGUCUGGUCCUCGAGCGUAUGGGGCUUUGUCACCCGCUCCCGUAGGUCCAGCUGGCAGCUAGCCUCGCAACCAAUCUUUUUAACCAGGUUGACCUCGGAUCAGGUAGGGAUACCCGCUGAACUUAAGCAUAUCAAU
rnacentral:rRNA from 1 species